UCCCGCAAGGGAUGAGUAGAGUGGCAAACGGGUGAGUAACGCGUGGGUGACCUGCCUUCGAGCGGGGGAUAACGUCCCGAAAGGGACGCUAAUACCGCAUGACAUCCGACCUUUGAACAGGUGGAGAUCAAAGCUGGGGAUCGCAAGACCUAGCACUCGAAGAGGGGCCCGCGUCUGAUUAGCUAGUUGGCGAGGUAAUGGCUCACCAAGGCGACGAUCAGUAUCCGGCCUGAGAGGGCGGACGGACACACUGGGACUGAGACACGGCCCAGACUCCUACGGGAGGCAGCAGUGGGGAAUUGUUCGCAAUGGGCGCAAGCCUGACGACGCAACGCCGCGUGGAGGAUGAAGACCUUCGGG
rnacentral:rRNA from 1 species